AUGAUUUUCCUAUACUUUCAUAUAAAUGCCAUGGAUCUCUUACUUUUUGAUGAAUUAACCUUUGUGUAGCGACUACAGUUUGAAAGCACUACUACACAUUCAUAGAUGCAGUUCCAGGCAGUUUGAGCCCACAAAGGCAUUUAUAACUUAAGCAGAAACCAAACAGAAGUAAAUAUUUUUAAUAGAGUUAACAAAUCUUCAUAAAAACCAAUCAUUUAAAACUAAAUGUUUUGAAGCUCUAAAGCCAGUCAGGCUCCGGGGAGGAUGCAGAUGAUCCCCUCAGGCCACUGAGAAACUUUUAAUCAGGGAUCACAAGUAUUAGAGAGGUAUAGGGGAGGUUCAGGGGACCAACACAAGGUGAGAAGCAAUUCCCUGGCAAGGCCUGAGAGGCAAGGGGUGGGAGCAGGCAGGGAGCCCUGGGAGAGCAGGAGGUGGCCGGCAGCCUUCAGACAGGAACUGCGGCCCUGAGUGGAGGCAAAGAACUCAGCAGCUGCUGCACCUCUUGAGUAGGGAACCUGGGGGUAGGAGAAGGAAAUGCAUGGUCUGAAUCCUCUCUCUCUUGCCCUCAUCUCCUGCCAGUCCCUCCCACUAGCAGGACCAACCAGAAGUUUCCCUGGUUAAAAAGCCAGGCGAGAAGGGUGGAGAAUACCCAGUGUGCACAGAUCUCUGAAAUGAGAACUACUACUGCUCUAUUUUAGGAGAAACAAAAUUCUUUCUGUGUGAUUGUAUACCUUGAGAGCCAAGAAGAAGAGUCCGAACAGCUAACAGUCCAGUAAAGUGGCCACAUGGAAACAACCCAUGAAAAUCCAUAGCUUCCGGGCCACUACUGUAAUCAGAAAAGACACCAAGAAGAAUAUUCCAUUCUCAGUAGCAACCUGGAAAGAAACUGAAUUGUAACUGAGGAGUAGGACUUACAUGAAGAAAACUACCACACUAUACCCUACUAUUGAAACACAAGAAAAUGCGAACGAAAGUAGAGAGAA
rnacentral:lncRNA from 1 species